rnacentral:lncRNA from 1 species
GCCAACGAGUAGGCGAAAGGAAGCUCGCUGAAAGGGUGCGAGCGGAGUAGUUCUUCCCGACGGGUUGCUGAAUCUUUUGAAGAAUCUGAAAUAAUUGUUCAGAAGAAGUUUGGAAUACACGCUGGGAAUUCUGUGUGACUGUAUUGAGAACACUAUUUCAGAGGAGCUAAGGGUCCCUCUGGUGUUCGUGUCAGAAUUUUGGGCUGUUUAAGCAUGAGCUCUGGGGAAGAAUGACUGGGGAAGGAUCCUGAUGUCCUAAUUU